rnacentral:rRNA from 1 species
UACGUAGGGAGCGAGCGUUAUCCGGAUUUAUUGGGUGUAAAGGGUGCGUAGGCUGAUUGGUUAGUCUAAGAUUAAAUGCAGAAGCUUAACUUCUGUUCGUUUUAGAAACUGCCUUUCUAGAGUAUGGUAGAGGCAAGUGGAAUUUCUAGUGUAGCGGUAGAAUGCGUAGAUAUUAGAAGGAACACCAGUGGCGAAGGCGACUUGCUGGGCCAUCACUGACGCUGAGGCACGAAAGCGUGGGGAGCAAAUA